rnacentral:sRNA from 1 species
AUUCUGAAAUGAAACGAGUUGAUGGGUGGACAAUGCGUAACUAACCUAUAUUUUUAGUCAUUUGAAAUAGUUAUUUUUCGAAGACGAAAACAUAGGAUUAGUCUGCCCAUUUCAUCCAUAAGGUGUCGCUGGUUAUUUGGCGCACCCAAAGUGUACUGGCUAAUCCUUCCAAAUUUAGAUUUGGGAGGAUUUUUUU